UGAUCUUGGUUCACUCUUCACUGAAUCCCCACCCAGGAUGACAGCUGGAAAGAUCUGAGAAACAAAAGACAAGGGUGGGGAGGGGAAAUGA